rnacentral:lncRNA from 1 species
CAGGAGUCGUGGACGGAGCCCGGCUCCCGUAGGAGUCCGGGUGGAGUCUUCCUUGUAGUAGAAGUCGUGGACGGAGCUCGGCUCCCGUGGGAGUCCGGGCGGAGUCUUCCUUGCAGCAGGAGUCAUGGACAGAGUGACGGGAGUUCACCAACAGUAGUCGAAAGUACAGAGGGUCGAUCCCACCAAGAACUUCGGCCGAGGAAAUUUUAUACCCAACAGACAGCAUCCAGGUGAGUUGGCUAAAGUGAGAGAUAAUUCCUCCAUGCAUCAAAAAUUAGUCGCAUUUUGAUAUUAAAAACUGUUGCUUAUUGUUCCAUAUCCAAAUCC